rnacentral:rRNA from 1 species
GACGAACGCUGGCGGCGUGCUUAACACAUGCAAGUCGAACGAAGAGCGAUGGAAGCUUGCUUCUAUCAAUCUUAGUGGCGCACGGGUGAGUAACGCGUAAUCAACCUGCCCUUCAGAGGGGGACAACAGUUGGAAACGACUGCUAAUACCGCAUACGAUCUAAUCUCGGCAUCGAGGAUAGAUGAAAGGUGGCCUCUACAUGUAAGCUAUCACUGAAGGAGGGGUUUGCGUCUGAUUAGCUAGUUGGAGUGGUAACGGCCCACCAAGGCGAUGAUCAGUAGCCGGUCUGAGAGGGUGAACGGCCACAUUGGGACUGAGACACGGCCCAGAAUCCUACGGGAGGCAGCAGUGGGGAAUCUUCCGCAAUGGACGAAAGUCUGACGGAGCAACGCCGCGGGAGUGAUGACGGCCUUCGGGUUGGAAAGCUCUGUUAAUCGGGACGAAAGGCCUUCUUGCGAAUAGUGAGAAGGAUUGACGGUACCGGAAUAGAAAGCCACGGCUAACUACGUG